GCGGGUGUAGCUCAGUUGGUAGAGCGUGUGCUUGCCAAGCACAAGGUCGUCGGUUCGAAACCGAUCACCCGCUCCA
rnacentral:tRNA from 2 species